ensembl:snoRNA SNORA70 Small nucleolar RNA SNORA70
CUGCAGUCAAUUAAGUUGACUAGGUUCCUUUACUGGUGGGCGCCCAGUGUGUUGUGACUGCAGACAGCAAGCUCCUUUGGUAGUGUAUGCAGCCUGCUGCUUGUACGGGCUGCCCUAAGGGACCUUGGAGACACUC